UGGGGAAUUUUGGACAAUGGGCGCAAGCCUGAUCCAGCCAUGCCGCGUGCGGGAAGAAGGCCUUCGGGUUGUAAACCGCUUUUGUCAGGGAAGAAAUCUUCUGAGUUAAUACCUCGGGAGGAUGACGGUACCUGAAGAAUAAGCACCGGCUAACUACGUGCCAGCAGCCGCGGUAAUACGUAGGGUGCAAGCGUUAAUCGGAAUUACUGGGCGUAAAGCGUGCGCAGGCGGUUUUGUAAGACAGAGGUGAAAUCCCCGGGCUCAACCUGGGAACUGCCUUUGUGACUGCAAGGCUUGAGUGCGGCAGAGGGGGAUGGAAUUCCGCGUGUAGCAGUGAAAUGCGUAGAUAUGCGGAGGAACACCGAUGGCGAAGGCAAUCCCCUGGGCCUGCACUGACGCUCAUGCACGAAAGCGUGGGGAGCAAACAGGAUUAGAUACCCUGGUAGUCCACGCCCUAAACCGAUGUCAACUGGUUGUUGGGAAGGUUCCUUCUCAGUAACGUAGCUAACGCGUGAAGUUGACCGCCUGGGGAGUACGGCCGCAAGGUU
rnacentral:rRNA from 1 species